ensembl:lncRNA
CUACUAGUUCAGAGAAAAUGGGCAUUCAGGCACAAUCCAUUUUCACUGAUGGUUCCCAAACCAUCUUUUUACAGUCCCAAAGCCACAGGAAUGUACUAAGUUUCCUUUCAAGCUUCCAGAUGAUCUUCAAGCAUUUCAAAGAAUUCAUCAAAGGAAGCAGAGAGAACACUGAAAGAUUCAGAGAGAUGAAGGAACAUGCGAAAACAGUGAGACAACAAGAAGGAGCAGGUCACAGUGUCCAUCAGCUUUGCUUCUUUGGAAGGCCAAGUAUUAAGAAGAUAAAUAGAUACGGUCACUGGCAUGGAAGAUGGAAGAGACAUAACUGCAGAGGAAAAGGUCCCACAGAUUCAUAGCAUAGGAUGUCAGCAGAGACUAGUAUAACUAGUUUGGUUCAACUGACACAGCCUACCAAUUUAUGGGACGUCCUGUGAGAAAGUAUUGACUCAGCAUUGCAUCUUGGAAACUUCUGCCUAAGAACCCACCUAAAUAUAGUGAUUGUGGUUCCUCUAGACUAAAUUAAUUAUUGGACAAAUUAAAGAGUUAGGUAUAAGAUCACUCACUGUCCAGGGGAGUUCUGGCAGGCUUUUGACUUGUUUACAGAAGAAAAGGAACUGCUUAACGCAGGUAUUUUCUGAAAGCAACUUCUUGGUGUGUCACAGUGAAAAAGUAAGAAUGUGAGCUCCAUAAACUGAAAAAAAGUCCACUCAUAGUACACAAGUGAUUAUUCCAAUGGAAGCAAUUUUAUUUUAAAAAUAAAUAAAUGCUUUAUAUAAAAUUUUAUUUUUUAUUUUAUUUUAUUUUAUUUUUUGCAUAUAUGAUGUAUGUUACAGCUGUAUCAGGAUCUCCACUUUUAAGGUAAUGGUUGAAAUACUGGUCUGUGCUCAUACAUCAAAGAUUAUAUCCAUCCUUUGAUGCCUUGGUAGUCUUGCUAUUGCCAUGUUUCAGACCAAGAAAAAUCCUUUUCUUUUCUCUAAUUUCCUGCCAAGACUUGGAGAUAUAAGUUUCUGUGAAGCUAGAGCAGAACCUGGGGAGUGUGGAAGUUGGUAGGCUGCAGAACAGGAGAUACUCACCCUAGUUGCCCUCCAAUCUUUUCUAUGAGGUCGUCUGGAACUGGUUUACUUUCAGGUGAAGAAUUCAGCAUCUCUAUGUCUGCACUCGCAUAAUAAUAGUGAUUGAAGGACUCUGGAGCCUCCACAGGCUCAGACUGUAAGAGGUAAUUCUUUUACACCAUUGCCUCAAAGCUUCCUGAGGUACACAGAUGAACAAGUUCAAGCAAGUCCUGACCAAGGAUUGGGAAAUCCUUUGUCUGAAGGGACAACAGAUGGACAAGGCCAGGGGCAACGAGAGAGAGAGAGAUAACUGGCAGCUAAACGACCAGGAAACAGUCAGCUCAGGGGGUGCUCACAUGACACUUACCCAAGCGCCCAGGAAUGUCACGUAGGCAGGGAAGAAGGAAGAUAAAAGAAGGUCCAACAACCAUGAAGGCAGGUUUCUGACAACAGAUUCCUCACGACCUGCCUCUCCCUCCUGGACUUCCUCUAUGCUCUACCUGCUUGCUGCCUAAGGAUGGCCUCUCUGCUGCUGCUCUCCCCCCCCAAGGAGGUGUCUGCCAUCAGAUCCCUCACUAUGAAAGGCCUGCAUGCUGACGGACUCUCCAGGGCCUGCUACCGGCGACCUGCUGCUUCCGCCCAGACUUCUUCCCAGACCUACUCGGUACCUGCACCUUCUCGCUGCCCCAGACCAGCCAUGCUGCUGCUGCUCUUCCCCGGUGCUUUUGCCCCGGACCGUCGGAACAUCUUGCAAGGGGACUACUGCCGGAUCCUGAAGGUGCAUUAGCCUCAGCCAGCAGAGUCCCUGGCACAGGGAUGUGAGCACGAGCUUGGAAAUGUGUACUUCAGGCAGAAGCACAGAGACAGCUUGUCACCCACUGCUGGCUCCUCGUCAUUCUUCUCUGGCAGGAAGCACCCCCUUAAUCAGUGAACUUUUUCCUCUGAAAGGAGCAAAGUGUAUUAAGGUCUACUGACGUCCGUGGAAAUUCCAGAUGCAGAAUGAAUACUGAACAUAGCCUGUUGUCAUUUUGGAGAGUAACAAAAUAUAACAUGGGCAUUUGUGAAGUGUUUCUAGAUGCAACGGUUGCAAAACACAUCAUACUUGUGUAUGAAGACGAACUAUGAAUUUCUACUCCCAAAGUCCUCUGCCAAAUAGGGUGGGAAUUCCUCACAUGGAGAGCCAGAAGAAAGAACACCCCAAUCCAGAUGGAAAGUUGGGACAGAGAGCAAAGCCUUGCCAAUCCGAACGGCCUUGGAGGAAGAACGGGUUGCUCAAGCAGUGCAUGCUUAAGACUGAAUGCUGAAUGAAUAGGAAAAAAUAAUAAUCACUCGGAC